GACGAACGCUGGCGGCGUGCUUAACACAUGCAAGUCGAACGGUGAAGCGCCUUCCUUUUUGGUGGGUGUGGAUGAGUGGCAAACGGGUGAGUAACACGUGAGUAACCUGCCCCCUUCUUCUGGAUAACCGCAUGAAAGUGUGGCUAAUACGGGAUAUUCUGGGUCUGUCGUAUGAUGGGUCUGGGAAAGAUAUUGUUUCGGUGGGGGAUGGGCUCGCGGCCUAUCAGCUUGUUGGUGGGGUGAUGGCCUACCAAGGCGGUGACGGGUAGCCGGCCUGAGAGGGUGGACGGUCACACUGGGACUGAGACACGGCCCAGACUCCUACGGGAGGCAGCAGUGGGGAAUAUUGCACAAUGGGCGCAAGCCUGAUGCAGCGACGCCGCGUGAGGGAUGGAGGCCUUCGGGUUGUGAACCUCUUUCGCCAGAGAAGCAGGCCUGCCUCGUUUGUGGGUGGGUUGACGGUAGCUGGAUAAGAAGCGCCGGCUAACUACGUG
rnacentral:rRNA from 1 species